UGCCGAUUCGUCUAAUGGUAGGACGACCGCCUCUGGAGCGGUUAAUUGGGGUUCGAGUCCCUGAUCGGCAGCCA
rnacentral:tRNA from 1 species